rnacentral:rRNA from 1 species
UACGGAGGGUGCAAGCGUUAUCCGGAUUCACUGGGUUUAAAGCGUGCGCAGGCGGCUUUGCAAGACAGAUGUGAAAUCCCCGGGCUUAACCUGGGAACUGCAUUUGUGACUGCAUGGCUGGAGUGCGGCAGAGGGGGAUGGAAUUCCGCGUGUAGCAGUGAAAUGCGUAGAUAUGCGGAGGAACACCGAUGGCGAAGGCAAUCCCCUGGGCCUGCACUGACGCUCAUGCACGAAAGCGUGGGGAGCAAACAGG